CGAUUGCGAAGGCAGCUUGCUGGACUGNAACUGACGCUGAGGCACGAAAGCGUGGGGAUCAAACAGGAUUAGAUACCCUGGUAGNCCACGCCGUAAACGAUGAAUGCUAGCUGUUAGCGAUAUACUGUUAGCGGCACAGAGAAAUCGUUNAGCAUUCCACCUGGGGAGUACGCCGGCAACGGUGAAACUCAAAGGAAUUGACGGGGGCCCGCACAAGCGGAGGAACAUGUGGUUUAAUUCGAUGAUACGCGAGGAACCUUACCUGGGCUUAAAUUGCAGUGGAAUAACGUGGAAACAUGUUAGCCUUCGGGCCGCUGUGAAGGUGCUGCAUGGUUGUCGUCAGCUCGUGCCGUGAGGUGUCGGCUUAAGUGCCAUAACGAGCGCAACCCUCAUCGAUAGUUACUAACAGGUUAAGCUGAGGACUCUAUCGAGACUGCCGACGUAAGUCGUGAGGAAGGUGGGGAUGACGUCAAAUCAGCACGGCCCUUACGUCCAGGGCUACACACGUGUUACAAUGGGGGGUACAAAGGGCAGCUACCUGGCGACAGGAUGCUAAUCUCAAAAACCUCUCUCAGUUCGGAUUGGAGUCUGCAACCCGACUCCAUGAAGCUGGAUUCGCUAGUAAUCGCGCAUCAGCCACGGCGCGGUGAAUACGUUCCCGGGCCUUGUACACACCGCCCGUCAAGCCAUGGGAGCCGGGGGGACCUGAAGUAUGCAACCGUAAGGAGCGUCCUAGGGUAAAACUGGUGACUGGGGCUAAGUCGUAACAGGUAGCCGU
rnacentral:rRNA from 1 species